AGGACGAACGCUGGCGGCGUGCUUAACACAUGCAAGUCGAGCGGAAAGGCCCUUCGGGGUACUCGAGCGGCGAACGGGUGAGUAACACGUGAGUAAUCUGCCCCUAGCUCUGGGAUAGCUCCGGGAAACCGGGAUUAAUACCGGAUACGACCACCUUAGACAUCUUUUGUGGUGGAAAGAAUUUCGGCUAGGGAUGAGCUCGCGGCCUAUCAGCUUGUUGGUGGGGUAACGGCCUACCAAGGCGACGACGGGUAGCCGGCCUGAGAGGGCGACCGGCCACACUGGGACUGAGACACGGCCCAGACUCCUACGGGAGGCAGCAGUGGGGAAUAUUGGACAAUGGGCGCAAGCCUGAUCCAGCCAUGCCGCGUGAGUGAUGACGGCCUUAGGGUUGUAAAGCUCUUUCGCUCGGGACGAUAAUGACGGUACCGAGAUAAGAAGCCCCGGCUAACUUCGCGCCAGCAGCCGC
rnacentral:rRNA from 1 species